rnacentral:lncRNA from 1 species
UCUUCAUUCUCAAAAGCUUUACAAUCUACACUUUGUCUUUUGAGAUGGAUUAAAAAUAAGGUCUUCAAUGCGUAAUCAUUUGCCUUGAUAGUGAGCCACAAUCGAUGCAACUAAACCGCGAUAAUCACAAGCUAAUCUUUCUUUUGAUUCUCUUGUAGUAAUCAACACUUCAUCUAUACUUGUAUUACCAAGAGCAAACCUCC